AUGGGGUGACUGCGUACCUUUUGUAUAAUGGGUCAGCGACUUAUAUUCUGUAGCAAGGUUAACCGUAUAGGGGAGCCGUAGGGAAACCGAGUCUUAACUGGGCGAAUGAGUUGCAGGGUAUAGACCCGAAACCCGGUGAUCUAUCCAUGGGCAGGUUGAAGGUUGGGUAACACUAACUGGAGGACCGAACCGACUAAUGUUGAAAAAUUAGCGGAUGACUUGUGGAUGGGGGUGAAAGGCCAAUCAAACCGGGAGAUAGCUGGUUCUCCCCGAAAGCUAUUUAGGUAGCGCCUCGUGAAUUCAUCUUCGGGGGUAGAGCACUGUUUCGACUAGGGGGUCAUCCCGACUUACCAACUCGAUGCAAACUGCGAAUACCGAAGAAUGUUAUCACGGGAGACACACGGCGGGUGCUAACGUCCGUCGUGAAGAGGGAAACAACCCAGACCGCCAGCUAAGGUCCCAAAGUCAUGGUUAAGUGGGAAACGAAGUGGGAAGGCUCAGACAGCCAGGAUGUUGGCUUAGAAGCAGCCAUCAUUUAAAGAAAGCGUAAUAGCUCACUGGUCGAGUCGGCCCGCGCGGAAGAUGUAACGGGGCUAAACCAUGCACCGAAGCUGCGGCAGCGACACAAAGUGUUGUUGGGUAGGGGAGCGUUCUGUAAGCCUGCGAAGGUGUACUGUGAGGUAUGCUG
rnacentral:rRNA from 1 species